UACGUAGGGGGCAAGCGUUGUCCGGAUUUAUUGGGCGUAAAGGGCGCGUAGGCGGUUUCUUAAGUUUGAAGUGACAGUGGGUGGCUUAACUACCCAAGGCCUUUGAAAACUGGGGAACUUGGGGACCAGAGAGGGACAUAGAAUUCCGGGUGGAGUGGUGAAAUGCGUAGAUAUCCGGAGGAAUACCAAAGGCGAAGGCAGUGUCCUGGAGGGUGACUGACGCUGAGGCGCGAAAGCUAGGGGAGCGAACAGG
rnacentral:rRNA from 1 species